rnacentral:rRNA from 1 species
UACAGAGGGUGCGAGCGUUGUCCGGAAUUACUGGGCGUAAAGGGCGCGUAGGUGGUCUGAUAAGUAGGAGGUGAAAUCUCACGGCUCAACCGGGCGGCUGCCUUCUAGACUGUCAGACUUGAGCAUGGUAGAGGCAGAUGGAAUUCCCGGUGUAGCGGUAGAAUGCGUAGAGGUCGGGAAGAACACCAGUGGCGAAGGCGGUCUGCUGGGCCAUAGCUGACACUGAGGCGCGACAGCGUGGGGAGCAAACAGG